AAAAUAGAAGCCAUAAGAAAAUUAAAAAGAAAUAGAAAGAAACUUUUCCUCAGCCACAGCUCAGACUCCUCACAUCGGUCACCCACGUCUUGGGCCCCAGCACAUGGGCAGUGGACUGGAUUUCAAUUCUUGUGGCGCACAUGCAGCAGCUUUCCCCAUAUUCAUGUGAGGAAACCUGGGCUCAGGGAGAAGAGACGUGUCCUCGUCAGUGAUGCAAGAUGGGGACAUGGAUGUCGUCUGUGGACAAGAAUGUCCUGGGCCUGAAUGAACUGACACGUGUAAAGGGCUUAGAACUGCUCCUGGCAGAGCACUGAUCUCAUCCUGUAUAAGCGCAUGUGCUUAAAAAACAUUUUAUUA
ensembl:lncRNA